AAUGAACGUUGGCGGCGUGGAUUAGGCAUGCAAGUCGUACGAGAAUCGUAGCAAUACGAGGAAAGUGGCGGAAGGGAGAGGAUUACGUGGGAAUCUACCCUCAGAACUGGGAUAGCGGCGGGAAACUGCCGGUAAUACCAGAUAAUGUCUGUGGACCAAAGGUGUGAUUCCGUCUGGGGAUGAGCCCACGUCCUAUUAGCUAGUUGGCAGGGUAAUGGCCUACCAAGGCAAUGAUGGGUAGCGGGUGUGAGAGCAUGACCCGCCUCACUGGGACUGAGACACUGCCCAGACACCUACGGGUGGCUGCAGUCGAGAAUCUUCGUCAAUGGACGAAAGUCUGAACGAGCGAUGCCGCGUGCGGGAGGAAGGUCUUCGGAUUGUAAACCGCUGUCAGUAAUUUUGGAAAUGCUAGGUGGCAAUCCAUCUAGUUUGACCUGGUCUCAGAGGAAGGACGGGCUAAGUUCGUGCCAGCCGCCGCAGUAAAAC
rnacentral:rRNA from 1 species